rnacentral:rRNA from 1 species
UACAGAGGUCCCAAGCGUUGUUCGGAUUCACUGGGCGUAAAGGGUGCGUAGGUGGCUUGGUAAGUUUGAUGUGAAAUCUCCGGGCUUAACCCGGAAAUGGCAUUGAAUACUAUUGAGCUGGAGGUUUGGAGGGGGGACUGGAAUUCUCGGUGUAGCAGUGAAAUGCGUAGAUAUCGAGAGGAACACCAGUGGCGAAGGCGAGUCCCUGGACCGGCAUUGACGCUGAGGAGCGAAAGCCAGGGGAGCAAACGGG